rnacentral:rRNA from 1 species
UACGAAGGGUGCAAGCGUUACUCGGAAUUACUGGGCGUAAAGCGUGCGUAGGUGGUUCGUUAAGUCUGAUGUGAAAGCCCUGGGCUCAACCUGGGAAUGGCAUUGGAAACUGGCGACCUAGAGUGCGGUAGAGGGUAGUGGGAAUUCCCGGUGUAGCAGUGAAAUGCGUAGAGAUCGGGAGGAACAUCCGUGGCGAAGGCGACUACCUGGACCAGCACUGACACUGAGGCACGAAAGCGUGGGGAGCAAACAGG